rnacentral:rRNA from 1 species
UACGUAGGGUGCGAGCGUUAAUCGGAAUUACUGGGCGUAAAGUGUGCGUAGGCGGCUUUGCAAGUCGAGUGUGAAAUCCCCGAGCUUAACUUGGGAAUUGCGCUCGAAACUACGGAGCUGGAGUGUGGCAGAGGAAGGUGGAAUUCCACGUGUAGCGGUGAAAUGCGUAGAUAUGUGGAGGAACACCGAUGGCGAAGGCAGCCUUCUGGGCCAACACUGACGCUCAUGCACGAAAGCGUGGGGAGCAAACAGG